UACGUAGGGGGGCAAGCGUUGUCCGGAAUCAUUGGGCGUAAAGAGCGUGUAGGCGGUCCGGUAAGUCGGCUGUGAAAGUCCAGGGCUCAACCCUGGGAUGCCGGUCGAUACUGCCGGACUAGAGUUCGGAAGAGGCGAGUGGAAUUCCCGGUGUAGCGGUGAAAUGCGCAGAUAUCAGGAAGAACACCCGUGGCGAAGGCGGCUUUCUGGGACGGUACUGACGCUGAGACGCGAAAGCGUGGGGAGCGAACAGG
rnacentral:rRNA from 1 species